GACGAACGCUGGCGGCGUGCUUAACACAUGCAAGUCGAGCGAUGAAGCUCCUUCGGGAGUGGAUUAGCGGCGGACGGGUGAGUAACACGUGGGUAACCUGCCUCAUAGAGGGGAAUAGCCUUCCGAAAGGAAGAUUAAUACCGCAUAAGAUUGUAGUACCGCAUGGUGCAGCAAUUAAAGGAGUAAUCCGCUAUGAGAUGGACCCGCGUCGCAUUAGCUAGUUGGUGAGGUAACGGCUCACCAAGGCGACGAUGCGUAGCCGACCUGAGAGGGUGAUCGGCCACAUUGGGACUGAGACACGGCCCAGACUCCUACGGGAGGCAGCAGUGGGGAAUAUUGCACAAUGGGGGAAACCCUGAUGCAGCAACGCCGCGUGAGUGAUGACGGUCUUCGGAUUGUAAAACUCUGUCUUCAGGGACGAUAAUGACGGUACCUGAGGAGGAAGCCACGGCUAACUACGUGCCAGCAGCCGCAGUAA
rnacentral:rRNA from 1 species